AUGACCAGAGACAACCUGAGGAAAAGGCAAAUCCUUAAACCUCUGGAUUGUGUCUUUUGCUCGGAACAGGGAAUUAACACCCAUUAGUUUUUUGAAUGCAUCGUAGUGAAGAACAUUUGGUCGUUUGUAGCUGACCAUUUUCAGGUUGAAAUAGGAGUUGGGUAUGAAUCUGUUGCCAGAUUUUGGAUAUCCAAUAGGAGGAAUUCUGCACUAAACAUGGUCUCAUCGGUGGUCCUCUGGUGUUUGUGGAAGUAUAGGCACUCUAUCAUCUUUAACAACACCGUUUGGACAUCGAUUUUGCAGGUUUGGAUACUGAUCCUCAGAACACUCAAGUUCUGGGCGAUCUUGGCGCCAGAAAAUGGCAAAGCUCGUCUGGAGACUUUCCUGACAGCACUAACAGCGUUCUUGCUACAGCCACUGAGAAUAACGAGUGGCUAA
rnacentral:rRNA from 1 species